GUCGUACGAGUUCUCGUUGAUGAUCGGUGCUUGCACCGAGAUUCAACAUAGAACGAGUGGCGGACGGGUGAGUAACACGUGGGUAACCUGCCCUUAAGUGGGGGAUAACAUUUGGAAACAGAUGCUAAUACCGCAUAGAUCCAAGAACCGCAUGGUUCUUGGCUGAAAGAUGGCGUAAGCUAUCACUUUUGGAUGGACCCGCGGCGUAUUAGCUAGUUGGUGAGGUAAUGGCUCACCAAGGCGAUGAUACGUAGCCGAACUGAGAGGUUGAUCGGCCACAUUGGGACUGAGACACGGCCCAAACUCCUACGGGAGGCAGCAGUAGGGAAUCUUCCACAAUGGACGCAAGUCUGAUGGAGCAACGCCGCGUGAGUGAAGAAGGCUUUCGGGUCGUAAAACUCUGUUGUUGGAGAAGAAUGGUCGGCAGAGUAACUGUUGUCGGCGUGACGGUAUCCAACCAGAAAGCCACGGCUAACUACGUGCCAGCAGCCGCGGUAAUACGUAGGUGGCAAGCGUUAUCCGGAUUUAUUGGGCGUAAAGCGAGCGCAGGCGGUUUUUUAAGUCUGAUGUGAAAGCCCUCGGCUUAACCGAGGAAGCGCAUCGGAAACUGGGAAACUUGAGUGCAGAAGAGGACAGUGGAACUCCAUGUGUAGCGGUGAAAUGCGUAGAUAUAUGGAAGAACACCAGUGGCGAAGGCGGCUGUCUGGUCUGUAACUGACGCUGAG
rnacentral:rRNA from 1 species